rnacentral:tRNA from 1 species
GGGGGUAUAGCUCAGCUGGGAGAGCGCGUGACUGGCAGUCACGAGGUCAGCGGUUCGAUCCCGCUUACCUCCACCA